rnacentral:rRNA from 1 species
AGUGAACGCUGGCGGCAGGCCUAACACAUGCAAGUCGAACGGCAGCACAGGAGAGCUUGCUCUCUGGGUGGCGAGUGGCGGACGGGGGAGGAAUACAUCGGAAUCUGCCUAUUUGUGGGGGAUAACGUAGGGAAACUUACGCUAAUACCGCAUACGACCUACGGGUGAAAGCGGAGGACCUUCGGGCUUCGCGCAGAUAGAUGAGCCGAUGUCGGAUUAGCUAGUUGGCGGGGUAAAGGCCCACCAAGGCGACGAUCCGUAGCUGGUCUGAGAGGAUGAUCAGCCACACUGGAACUGAGACACGGUCCAGACUCCUACGGGAGGCAGCAGUGGGGAAUAUUGGACAAUGGGCGCAAGCCUGAUCCAGCCAUGCCGCGUGGGUGAAGAAGGCCUUCGGGUUGUAAAGCCCUUUUGUUGGGAAAGAAAAGCAACCGGUUAAUACCCGGUUGUUCUGACGGUACCCAAAGAAUAAGCACCGGCUAACUUCGUGCCAGCCGCCGCAGUAAAAC